rnacentral:misc_RNA from 1 species
AAUAUCACAAUCCAAACUACCACUAUACACCACAUAAGAAUUUCCACAACCAAAAUCAUCGCUAUUACUAUUACUAUUACUAUUAUCUGAACUCGCGGUUAAACAUUUUACCGGACCAUUAUGCCCUUCCAAAACAGCCAAACAUGAAUAACUUUUUCCAAUACCUUUCAUCCAUAUUCUCACUGUUUUAUCUGCUGAUCCACUGCAUACCAAAUCAUCCACCACAGAUAAACACAAUAUGGCCUUAGUAUGUCCUCUUAAGGCUCCACUCACCACCAUUUUAUCACCACCACUAUCUUUUUCCCAUACAAUUAUGGAUCUAUCACAAGCACCUGAAUAUAAAAUUGAACCAUCUGUACUAAGAGCUAAAGCA